GAUGAACGCUGGCGGCGUGCUUAACACAUGCAAGUCGAACGGAAAGGCUCCUGCUUGCAGGGGUACUCGAGUGGCGAACGGGUGAGUAACACGUGGGUGAUCUGCCCUGCACUUCGGGAUAAGCCUGGGAAACUGGGUCUAAUACCGGAUAGGACGAUGGUUUGGAUGCCAUUGUGGAAAGUUUUUUCGGUGUGGGAUGAGCUCGCGGCCUAUCAGCUUGUUGGUGGGGUAAUGGCCUACCAAGGCGUCGACGGGUAGCCGGCCUGAGAGGGUGUACGGCCAAAUGGGGAAGAGGAAACGGCCCAGACCCCUAGGGGGGGGAGGGGGGGGGAAUUUUGCAAAAUGGGGGCAAGCCUGAGGGAGGGGCGCCGGGGGGGGGAUGGCGGCCUUCGGGUUGAAAACUCCUUUCGCGGGGGACGAAGGGCAAGUGGGGGUCCCUGGAGAAGAAGCCGCGGCAAACUACGU
rnacentral:rRNA from 1 species